GAUGAACGCUGGCGGCGUGCCUAAUACAUGCAAGUCGAGCGAACAGACGAGGAGCUUGCUCCUCUGACGUUAGCGGAGGACGGGUGAGAAACACGUGUAUACCCUACCUAUCAGACUGGGAUAACUUCGGGACACCGGAGCUAAUACCGGAUAAUAUCUUGAACCGCAUGGUUCAAUAGUGAAAGUCGGUUUUGCUGUCUCUUAUCGAUGGAUCCGCGCCGCAUUAGCUAGUUGGUAAGGUAACGGCCUAUCAAGGCAACGAUGCGUAACCGACCUGAGGGGGUGAUUGGCCACACUGGAAGUGAGACACGGUACAGAGUCCUACGGGAGGCAGCAGGAGGGAAACGGCCGGAAUGAGCGAAAACCUGACCGAACAACGCCGCGUGAGUAAUGAGGGUCGUCGGAUCGUAAAACUCUGUUAUUAGGGAGUAACAAAUUUGUAAGUAACUAUGCACGUCUUGACGGUACCUAAUCAGAAAGCCACGGCUAACUACGUG
rnacentral:rRNA from 1 species